AUAAAAAGGCAUCAUGAGAAAACAGUUAAAAAGAUAACAGCAGCAGGUGCAGGCCCCCGCUGAGCAGCGGCAGCAGCAGCGCCAGCAGCAGCAGCAGCGCCAGCAGCACCUGUUCGCAGGACACCUGUGGGAGCAAAGCAGAGGAGUCAGGCUCGGGGCAGGCCCCGGCAAUGGGGCCAGACGGGUGACAGCGGAGUGCCAAGGGGAAGCCCAGGAGGGUGGGGACUGGGAAGGAGCUCGAGGGGACCAGAGAAGGAAGGAGUUCAGGAGAGGGGGAAAGUGGCCCUGAGGACGUGGCCAGAGAGGCCAGCGUGGCCUGGGCCUGCCAGUCUGCGGGACACAGGCAAAGACACCCGGUGGGCACAGGUGAGGGCAGUCAGCUGCCCUUGUGGUGGGCGGUGCCGAGUGGACACCAUGGGACCAGGCUACCAGGAAGGCUGCUCAGGGAGGCCCCUGCCCUGGCCAGGAGACGGGAGUCCUGCCUGCCAGGUGAAGGCUCUCGGACCAGAGGGAGACCCAGGACCAUGCACUGGUUUGUGCACUCAGAACCAGGCAUCUCAAACCCAAAAGCCCAUGGGAUCAGGCAGAUGUGGACACAGGUGACACAGAUGAUGAUACGGAGUGGUGGGGACUGUGGCGCCCCAAGGAGCGGCUCUGACAGCCCCCACUGGCCGCAGCGCAAGUCAGGGUCAGGGAUCUCAAGGCUCUUACCCAGGACCCGGGGUUCGGGGAUCUCCAGAACCUCAUUAUGUUCUCCUUAAGUGUGGUGAAACCGUCCAUGAAACUUCUAAGAACAUCCCUGAUGUCCUCAGUCUGGUCGUAGAUGAAAGCCAGACCCAGGCUAUAGACAAAGAGGAUGGGGGGACAAAGCCAUUACUGCAGGAGCAGGUAGGGGCAGCCUGUACUUAGAUGACACCAUCACAGCUGUGGGGAGCAGGGGCCUGUGCCCUCCCACCCCACAGCCACCCGGGGCCCUUUCCGUGGGCGCCUCCACCUGCAGGGGCCGCGUGGUAUGGACUGUUUGUGGUCAAAUUCAUUCCAACUUCCUGCUUCCUCCGCCAGCCAGCCGCCCGCCAGCCCACCGGGUGUUUGGCCCUGUCUUCCAGAGCUGGCCACGUGGAAAAUAAACCCCCAUUCUACAGGGCCCUCACAAGCCACUGCCCACUCUAUUCCCCCACCGGAGACUCGCUGAGAGGCCCAGCCCCCAGGAUCUAGGAUCCGAGCUCACGUAGCACCCCCUCUUAAGACCACGGUGGAAAUGUACCAUCUGGGCUCAAUGAGGACGGCGAGAGAGAAAAGGGCCCUGGGCUCUGCUUUGUUGCCCAGGAAUGCCAGGGACAGGUGGCAGGGGGCGAGUGCCAGGAGCUGGGGGCUCCCAGGAGAGGUGCGGGAAGCAGCCAAGGGUUUCAGUAUAGCCCCAGUGUCAAGGCACAUCCCCCACAGAGCUUCCUCAGGGCCCAGCCCUGUGCUGUGUUCAGGGCCUCCACCCACCGCCCAGGGCCCCUCCCCAGGUGUAGAGGCAUAGGGCAUAGGCCGGCUACCUGUGCAUGGCCACCUCGGAGAGCUGGGCCAGGCGCGGGGCCCUGAGGCUCACGUCCAUCUCGUCCCCGAUGCAGGCCAGCCGCAGGGCCAAUGCGUCACUGCAGGGAGCACACACAGGAGUCGGGUGUGGCUGUGCCGUGGAGGCCACAUGCACCUGGACCCACCCAGCCAACGGAUUGUGUGCAGCUGGGAGUGGCCCAGAGGAUAAGAGAUGGUGUCAGAUUUGGGGCAGGCAGUGAGUGGGCCUCCCUGUAUCCCUCCUCCGGCUCCCACUUGGAUUCAGAGAUACCCAUGAGGUCCCAUCCGUGGGUGGCCCCAGAGGUGCAAGCUAUUU
rnacentral:lncRNA from 10 species